AAGCCGGCCGAGGUGGUGGCGAAGCCGCCGCCGAGGCCUGGCGGCGCCGACAAAGCCCAGCAGCAGGGACACUUUGCGGCCCUUGCCCGGCCGGGGAGACCGGCUGGGAAUGUGAGGCGGGGGCGGGGGCGGCCCGGAUCGGACCGGCGGCGUGGCCAUGGAGGCGGUGGCAAGGGGAAGACUGGGCCCGGGCCCACUUUCAACCACUGAAUAAAGUUGCGGGGUGAAUGAUGUUCCAGUGUAUCAUCAUGUACUGACCUGGCGUUACAAAGGAGCAAGGCAAGGUUCUGUGGGUUGUUGGCACUACGCCCCAAGGUCAAAGAGCUGGCAGGACAGCCAGAAGGGGAAACAGCUAUUAAGUUUCUGAUUUCCCUUCCCCUGCAACGGCCUGCUGACCUACCAACGUAACUUCUUCUAUUCCCCACCACUACUGGGAUUGCUGCACCGAGACCAAUGGACACGCUCUCCGAUCUCCCCAUCUCCAGACAGGCUCCAAAAUAUUCAAAACAAAUCCUACCCAAGCCUUAUCUCAGUUGCUGCCCCCCCAACCCAAGCAAUACUGAAGCGGGGGGAAUGGCCCUUGCCCUCAUUGCUCCCCGAAGUGGCUCCCCAAAGUGACGACCCCCUUUGGUGCCACCCCUUUGGUGACAGACCCGCCAGUGGCGGUCCCACCGCCACUGGCAGUCUCUUAAGUAGCCCAGGGGUGGGCAGAUGGAAGCCCAGGACCCCAGUCCUGCCAACACUCAGCUGUACCAAAGCUGUACCAAAGCUGGCAGGCAGAAGUCCCACAGGCAGAAGCAGACAGCAACAGCAGCAGAUGGCAACAGAUGACAAACAGCAGGCUCUGAAUUCUGGCUUAGCCCAAAGACCCCAGGUUUAUGCUUAUCCUCACAACAACCGUGUGAGGUAGAUUAAGCUGAGAGAGAACUGAUUGGCCCAGAAUUACCUAGGGAGUUUCAUGGCUGAAUGGAGAUUGUAACUUGGGUCUCCCCGGUCCUUGCCCAAUAAGAUUUCUGCUGAUUGCAAAUGACUGACCUCCACACAGCCUGCGGCAAAAAGUCCGAGAGAACCUGCAAUUGUCACAAUGUGGCCGUGACCUCUCUUGAUCAUUUGAGGAAGGAAAGCCUUGACAGUCUGCAAAUCAAUAGAGGAAAAGAUCUUAUUAUCCAUGAGUAAAAUGAGGUCAAAUGGCUGGUACAAAGUUCCAAGGUCUGGUUGCAACACGGCUGAGAGAAUUCAAGGACCAAUGUGUUUUUAAUGUGCAGUGUUACCUGAUGCAAGAAAGGUUCUGAAAAGUAGGAUUAAUGAGAGCCAGACCUUGUUCUGUGAAACCUGACAGAUAAGCCGAUUUCCAGGAUGAGUUGCGGGAAAUGCACAAGUCACACUGAAUUGAUUUUCAGCAGAAUCUAAUUGAACAGUUCCUGGAUGUAGCACUUUGUUUGCAUAACCCCUUCAUGUGCCAAACUUAUAAAUAAAUGUGUGAGCUUUCUGAGCAAAGAGGCUUCUCCAAGUUUGCAGGCAGAAGUCUCUCUCAGCCCUAUUUUGGAGAUGCCAGGGAGGGAACUUGGAACCUUCUGCAUACAAACAUGCAGAUUCUCUUCCCAAAGUGGCCCCAUCCCCUAAGGGGAAUAUCUUACAGUGCUCACACCUCUCCCAUUCAAAUGCAAGCCAGGGUGGAGCCUGCUUGGCACAGGGGACAAUUCAUGCUUGCUACCACAAGCUCUCCUCCCUUCUAGUCCAGCUUCCUGUUCAACACACAAAUCUGCUGCAGGCAGUAUCCCUAACAGGUAGUUCUGCAGAAAAACUUCCAGUGAAGAGAGCUCACUACUCCACAAGGCAGACUGGUCUACUGUCAGACUGCUCUUCUAGUCUGACAGUAGAAAACACUUCCUAAUGCCUAGCCUAAAUCUGCUUCUUUGUAAUUUCAACCCACUGGUUGUAGUCCUGCCAACAGAAGCAUCAGAAAAUAAGUCCACUCCAUUGUUACAUCGGAGAAUGAAUAUUGAGCAGAGUGCUUUGAAAGCAACGCUGGAUGGAUAGCUCUUUAAAGAGGACGGAAUACAGCCACAGUAAAGGAUCCCAGGUUGUAUAACAGCAGGGUCCUAUGCACAGUUGCUAGGGAACAAGCCCCACUGAACUCGUGGAUUUCCGUUCUGAUAACAGCUACAACAUUUAAUCAACAAAUUGGUUAGAUUAAUCAGGUUUUUUGACUAAAACGUUGUCCCAAUUAAUUGUACAAAAGAGCUAUUCAUUUUUAUCGCAUAUACUUUAUUUUUGUGCCAUUUUUAGUGCAAAAAGCUGCAGGUGAUAAGCAUCAUCUUAGGAGGCAUUCCCCCCUUUCUCUCACAAACAGCAGGGAAUGCCUCUGUAAGAUUAUAACUAUAUGUUAUGAUAUGUGCGCAUCUUUGAAAAAUAAAAUAUGCUUCAAGCUUCAGAAUUAUUGUUUGUGCCCAAAUGUAAAUAUAAUCAUUUGGCUGACUGAUUUACUUAAAUACAUGUAACCAAUUUAAAAUGCUAAUAAAUCCACAGGUGAGGUAAAAUUUGAAUUUGCAACUGAAAAGAUCCCUCCUUCCAAAGGAAACAGCAAGGAAAAAGGAGGAGAUUUUUUUUGUCUGCCCCAGCUAUAGCAGAAGUGCACAGCAGCUCAUCGGGACACUGCAAGAUGGACUUUCCAGCGAUCACUCCAGCAUUGUUGACCAAAAUUGUGACAUCUCCCACAUCCCUUCUCACGUUUUCAGCAGCGCUGUAGACCUCUUCCCGCCGGCUCACAUCACAGGUGUAAACAUAGGCUCUGGCUCCCAGCUUGCGUAUUUCCUGAGCAGUGGUUGCAUUGCCUUCUGGAUCGAUAUCCCACAAGACGAGUGUGGCUCCCCGUCGGGCAAAUUCCAGCGCAAAAAGACGCCCAAUGCCGGUUGCACUGGCUGCACCUGUUACCAAGCAGAUUUCAUUACUGACCAUUUUUUCAGGGGGUUUCUUAACCCACUGAAGCACUGAAUAGAGAAUGUAUCCAAAUACUUUAACUGGUCGGGUUUGACAUGCCGGAAGAGACGUGCAAGAGACAAUUUUUUUUGCGUUUCAAGCCCUCUUCUUGCAAAGGAUUGCACUAAAAUCAAACAAAACCAUUAUAAUAGUUCCCGUUGCCUGCUCACUGCAGCGUCAAGAAUCUGAUUCGUGUCCCGUUUGCACCUAUGAGAUUGGUAGUAAAAAAAAUUUCUAGCUCCACCAUCAUCCUCCCCGAUUCAACAACGUCAGCUGCUUCCCAAUGAAGCGCUCACAACCAUGACCAAACUAAGACAAGCGCGCAGCCACUUUCCCCUCAGGACUACAUUUCCCAAAGAGCCUGGCGACGAGCCUGCGCACUAGAGCACAGAGGGCUAUAUAAGGACGUAGCGCGCGCCCAUGUGUCCUUUUUCCUUCGGCCUUCAGAGGAGGGCUGUGCUGUCAAAUGUGUAAUUGUAUGAACUCUUGCAAAGCUGUCAAGGCAGAAGGUGAGGAUGGAGUCACCUAAAGCAAGAAGGGGAAGGCUGCUAUGGCUCCAGAGAAUUAAGAGGGUUCAUAAAAUGAUACAAUGAAGAAGCAAGAUCGCAGUGGAGUGAUGGAGAAGAGGGGAUGACUUAAAAUAAGGGAAGGACCAGCUUUGCAGCUUCUGAACAAACUCAAUCGGGGAUAUUGUUCUGCAACAAGAUGUGGCCAGAUUGGAUUUGAAAGAAUGACUUGUGAACUGUUCACUUCUUUGCUCUGCUACCAAGUCUUCAGGUGCUUUAAGGAUCGAGGAUCCCAGAUGAGGUCUCAACAGCUGGCCUGAAGCACAGGAUGCCCACAAGAGCUGCUGAGACUGAAUACUUUGAAGUAGAAAUUAUUUUUAACAUUGGUGUUGAUAAACCAUCAAUAAUAAAACACUUGAUUUGCACCAUGACAAA